rnacentral:tRNA from 1 species
GAGGUGUUAGUAAAACAAUUACAUAGUCUUGUCAAGACUAAAUUACAGAUUAAACCUCUGUACACCUCU